CGUCACCGACGUCGGAAACCGCUUAACAUUAAUCUCUUUUCUCUCAUACACCACUCCUUCUGCCCAACUAUCCAUACUUUUCAUUAACCAUAAUUUAUUCAUCGGCGACACCGCCACUGCGGCAUUGUCGUCGCGAACGACAAUAUCGUCGGCGCCGAUGAGAUUGUCGUUUAAUGAUACAGUCCUUGCAGUUCCGUCCAUUGCGUCUACCUUGAAAACUUUACCGGUGCUUGAUUGAACUACAAGAAGGUAGCCUUUGGAAACGUAGGUGAUUCCGUUCAGACCUAGGAGAUUUUCGCCGGUAGUAACUUGAUUGUUCUCCGGUGAGGUGAAUAGUGGAGAUUUUGAGAAGAUUGAUGCGGUUCCGUCGGUGGUGAUUUUCCAGAUGAAGUUUCCGGCGGAGUUUGAUACGUAUGCGGUGCCGGUGUGAUCGACGGCGACAUCGUUGGUGGCGGAGAGGUUGGGGAGGGUGAAUUCAUCGUCGGAGUCAGGGAGGAGAGAGAUAAAUAUGCGGCGGCGAGAGCGGAGGUCGUAGGCGGCGAGAGCAUUGAACGGAGGGAGUGGAGGAGGGGAGUGAACGAUGGCGAGGAGGCGGUUACGGUGGGAAUUGACGGCGAGACCGAGGAUGGAGGAAUUGGAGGGGAGAGUGAUGUCGGAGAUGAAAGUUUCGACUACGCCGUCGUCAGAGACGGCGGUGAUGAUGCGACGACGAAGGGAGCCGAUGAGUUAAUGUUGAGCGCGUGGGUCCCACGCG
rnacentral:lncRNA from 1 species